rnacentral:lncRNA from 1 species
ACUUUGGCCUCCAGACCAGUACCUCCCCUGGACGCUUGCCUUUGUCUGGAAAGAAGUUUGACUACAGGGCCUUCGCAGCCCUGCCUUCUUCCAGGCCUGUGUAUGACAUCCAGUCACCAGAUUUCGUGGAGGAGCUGAGGACUUUGGACCCAUCUCCCAGUCCUGGCCCACAGGAAGAAGAUGGAGAGGUGGCUCUGGUGCUCCUUGGCAGGCCCUCACCUGGCACUGUGGGCCCUGAAGACAUGACGCUAUGCAGUAGUCGUCGGGCCAUGCGGCCAGGACGCCGGGGCCUGGGCCCUGUGCCCUCCUAGGGCCAGGUGCUUCCCCAGACUUAGGGUGGGGAGCCUGCCAGCUUCAUCACCUCCCCUACCCCAGGUCUUUUAGCCUUGGUGUUAGCAUUUUAAAGAGACCCCUCAGGAGUUAUGGCUUCUGAUUAACUGCCCCCAUAGCCGGGAUCUCGUGGCGAGACUGUAACUAGUGAUGUUUGUACAACCAAAGACUCUAUUUUGUGGUUUAAGAAGAAUAAAGUUAACUACGUUUUA